rnacentral:lncRNA from 1 species
AUAUUGGUUAUUUUAGAAAGAAAAAUUUAAAAAAAAAAUCAAUUUUAUUCCUAGAAUUAAAUUGAAACUUAAAUUAAUUCAAAUGAUAUAGCAGGAACAAAAGCAUUUGACAGCCAGCAGAAAUACAGUUAACUAAUUGAUCAAAUAAACGGAUAUAUGAUCAUGCUUAUGCUUAAGCAGUUAUUCUUAUAUACAAUUGUAAAAGUAGUAAUAAUUAAAAUUAAUAACAAGUAAUAAUUAAACAGUUAUAAUAUAUGCAGUGUUAAAAGCCUAUAACCUAUAGGACAAAACUUAAUCUCAAGCCAACAUUAGGAGUGUAAAUUUAACUACAGAUAUUUUAGGCAGUAAAAUAUCUUCUAGUGGAUCGAUCUGGAUAAUCACAAUUUAAUACCAUAUUUGACCCUACAAGGCAAAACAUGUCUAAAGUCCUGAUACAAAACUCAAACAUAAAUAAAUAAAACAGGUUGAAUAAAAUGGAAAUUAUUUAAUCCAAAGAUCAUUCAACAAUUAAAAAAAAACAUCUAAAAUGAUUUUUUAUAAGAAUAAAAAUCAAAACCAAAACUCAGGAAAUUUCUUUAAAAACCAAAACUCAGAAUAUACAGUUUGAAUGAACUCAGACAGUGUUUCCCUGCAAAUAUUUCAUAAUUUCGAAAGCACACUUACAACAAAACUAGAUCUCAGAUAGAUAUAUUAUAUAAUAUAUCAGAAAUUAAAACCAGAAGCCACUCAUACUCAUCGUAUCAUGAAUCCAGCACGUUGUAGAACGGUAGAUCCAGGAAAACCUAGAGUGAAAACAGAUCCGUCAACAGAACCACCACAUAACAGGAUUUUCACUGUAACAGAAAGGAGUCAUCCACAAUCACCACCGUGGCAUCAGGUAAAUCAGCCACUGUCGUCUCUUUCAGUGAACUGUGGUUUACUAGGGUUCCUGAUUUAAGUGAGAGCUUUUUGACUUCACUGUUUUCAUUUACCUUGCUUCUGUGGUUUAUUAUUUGGGGGAAAACUAAGAUUUAGAAUGAGAUGAAAAAUUUAUGUUGAAACUGUAAUUUCCUUGCAAACUAGGAAAGAUGAUUUCANUGUAAUGCAACGAAGUGCAACAGCAAGAAAGGCAGAAAGCAGUAACCGUGUGAAAGACCACAUCUCUCACGCUUGUAGUUUUUUUUAUCUCCAAAUUAUUUAGUAUUUAAAACUAUAAUAUUCCAAAACAAAACCCUUUGAACUAGAUAAUAUCUCCAGCUGGAGGAGAAAGAAGAAAAUAUCUUCAGCACACUGUUCUACACUCAGUGGCUACCACCGUCAUCUUUGAAAUCAUCUUUCCUAGUUUGCAAGGAAAUUACAGUUUCAACAUAAAUUUUUCAUCUCAUUCUAAAUCUUAGUUUUCCCCCAAAUAAUAAACCACAGAAGCAAGGUAAAUGAAAACAGUGAAGUCAAAAAGCUCUCACUUAAAUCAGGAACCCUAGUAAACCACAGUUCACUGAAAGAGACGACAGUGGCUGAUUUACCUGAUGCCACGGUGGUGAUUGUGGAUGACUCCUUUCUGUUACAGUGAAAAUCCUGUUAUGUGGUGGUUCUGUUGACGGAUCUGUUUUCAACAUCUAGGUUUUCCUGGAUCUACCGUUCUACAACGUGCUGGAUUCAUGAUACGAUGAGUAUGAGUGGCUUCUGGUUUUAAUUUCUGAUAUAUUAUAUAAUAUAUCUAUCUGAGAUCUAGUUUUGUUGUAAGUGUGCUUUCGAAAUUAUGAAAUAUUUCUUUCUCCUCCAGCUGGAGAUAUUAUCUAGUUCAAAGGGUUUUGUUUUGGAAUAUUAUAGUUUUAAAUACUAAAUAAUUUGGAGAUAAAAAAAACUACAAGCGUGAGAGAUGUGGUCUUUCACACGGUUACUGCUUUCUGCCUUUCUUGCUGUUGCACUUCGUUGCAUUACAUUUAUAGCAACCAGCAAACAAUUAUUUAUCUUUUGGUCUGUUGAUACUCAAACAUAUG